rnacentral:rRNA from 1 species
CUACGGGCCGCUGCAGUGGGGAAUAUUGCACAAUGGGCGCAAGCCUGAUGCAGCCAUGCCGCGUGUAUGAAGAAGGCCUGCGGGUUGUAAAGUACUUUCAGCGGGGAGGAAGGGAGUAAAGUUAAUACCUUUGCUCAUUGACGUUACCCGCAGAAGAAGCACCGGCUAACUCCGUGCCAGCAGCCGCGGUAAUACGGAGGGUGCAAGCGUUAAUCGGAAUUACUGGGCGUAAAGCGCACGCAGGCGGUUUGUUAAGUCAGAUGUGAAAUCCCCGGGCUCAACCUGGGAACUGCAUCUGAUACUGGCAAGCUUGAGUCUCGUAGAGGGGGGUAGAAUUCCAGGUGUAGCGGUGAAAUGCGUAGAGAUCUGGAGGAAUACCGGUGGCGAAGGCGGCGCCCUGGACAAAGACUGACGCUCAGGUGCGAAAGCGUGGGGAGCAAACAGGAUUAGAUACCCGCGUAGUC